GAUGAAGAACGUAGCGAAAUGCGAUAAGUAAUGUGAAUUGCAGAAUUCAGUGAAUCAUCGAAUCUUUGAACGCACAUUGCGCCCGCCAGUAUUCUGGCGGGCAUGCCUGUUCGAGCGUCAUUACAACCCUCAGGCCCCCGGGCCUGGCGUUGGGGAUCGGCGGAGCCCCCCGUGGGCACACGCCGUCCCUCAAAUACAGUGGCGGUCCCGCCGCAGCUUCCAUCGCGUAGUAGCUAACACCUCGCGACUGGAGAGCGGCGCGGCCACGCCGUAAAACACCCAACUCUUCUGAAGUUGACCUCGAAUCAGGUAGGAAUACCCGCUGAACUUAAGCAUAUCAAUAAGCGGAGGA
rnacentral:misc_RNA from 1 species